GAUCCCACAUCGACUACACUUAUGGGGGUGUAGGGGUUCUGAAGUUCUUGGGGUCCUCCCACUUAUUGAACUAGUCUUUUUGGUUGGGCUCUUCCCUUGGACUUGAGUACCUAACAUUGGUAUCAGAGCUUAAGUUCCCGACGCGGCGGAGGGGGCCACCUGGAAAUGGCUACCUUAACGGGACGACCAAAGGGUGUGCCACCGUUAAGAGUGAAAGCCACCAAAGUAAGGGCCAUCGUAGGCGUUGGCUUCCGAAGGGUGGUGUAAUGUUAUGACCCCACAUCGACUACACUUAUGGGGGUGUAGGGGUUCUUAAGUUCUUGGGGUCCUCCCACCUAUUAGACUAGUCUUUGGGGUUGGGCUCUUCUCUUGGCCUUGAGUACCUAACAAAAUUUCAAAUCUGACGAUUUAUUUCUUUGAUUUUGUUUCCAGAUCGUUAAAUUAUUACUGGAUUUUCAUCAAUUCGUUGUUUUGGGUUUGAAAACUGUGAAAAUUUGGAAUUUUUACAUCAAAGAUGGUCCUUUUUGUAGAUAAUAUUAGUUUUCUUGAAUUUUGUGGUUUUGGGUGUUUUGAUUUGGGUUGAAUUUCAUAAAUCAGUAGUGGCUAAGUGGUUCGUUGCCGGUACGGAUGGCGUCGGGACGAAGCUUAAGCUUGCUUUCGAAUCUGGAAUUCACGACACCAUUGGUAUUGAUUUGGUAAUGCUAAUUUUGUUCGAAUGAAUUGUCAUGUGGUACACAAUGUGUCGUUGAAAACUGCUGCUCUAAAUCAGUUUCGAUUCUUAGGUUGUUAUAAGUGUCAAUGAUAUUGUUACUUCUGGUGCUAAGCCGUUAUUUUUCCUUGAUUACUAUGCUACAAGCCGGCUCGAUGUUGAUCUUGCUGAAAAGGUUGUAAAAGGUAUUGUCGAUGGUUGCAAACAAUCUGACUCUGUUCUUUUAGGUGGAGAGUUCUUGGUUUUCUUACAUGUUAUUUGUUCGGGAAGAUCAAAGUGUUUGAUCACAGAGGCCAUUUCGCAAAGCUCUGCAUUAUAUUUCUUCCAUUACUAUGUGCUGCUCUCGUCGGAAUCUCUCGUGUGAUGAUUACUGAGUCAUUGGCAGGAUGUCUUCGCCGGAGGUUUUGUAGGAAUUGUCACAACUUCGAUUUGUUACUAGCAGUCCUUACCUCUCUUAAACCAGCUGGAUGGGUGGGCACCUCAAGUAUAUUUUCCACAUGCUGGGUGCAUAGAGGAAUGUUGGCGUGCCCUUAUCUUUGACCACGAGGUUAAGCUCUCUUCGCAUGCGAUAUGCGAAGAACAGAUAUUGAGAGUCCAGACUCGAGUGCACCAGUCCACUAGUUACUGGAAGAAGGGAGAAGAUCCUGAGUUGAGUUUGUAUGCCAAAGAGAAAUCAUAUAAAACGUACAUAUACAUUUUGUAUACACAACGUAGUACUUCAUUCGAUGACCCCAUAUCAUAUGUGUAGCUCCUAACAUCAUUCUUUAUUAAAUGAAAAUUUUAUAAUUUUAC